AUUAACUGUAGUAAAAUUUUACAUAAACAAAGAAACCGACAUGUGUACAUUUAAUAGAUAAUAAAAUUUAAACAAAAAUUUUUUUAUUACUUUAAAAUAAUUUCUUUACUUUUAAUAAACGUUAUACGAUUAGAAAGUCUACAAUUAUAAAGUAGCAAGAGCAACGCAACGUUUGUGAUGCGCAUGGUGAAUGACUGUGUAAUGUAUACACAUUUACAUUCAUACAAUCAUACACAUACACAUUUUCACGCAUACACGCACUAACACUUUAAUAUUUUAUUUUUUGUUAACGGCAUGUAUUUUUAUACUUUGAUUGCAUUUGUUUGUACAGAUUCCGGCACGCGUAGCAAUCCCUACUACUACUAACGUUGCAAGCCCAUCAAAUUCUUCGACUUCUGAUGCACACAUUCCAGCACAUGCAAUCACCCCUACCACUGCUAAUAACGUUGCAACUCCUGUCAAUGAUGAUGCAACUUUGGAAGAUUAUCCCAACGAUCCUUCUUCUGCUUCACACAGACCAAGAGGUAGGAAAGCGGGAGCCCACGUUCAACAGGAACGUUUUAUGAAAUUCUUGUUCAGGUUGUCAUCAGCUCAAUACAACUAGGGACAAAAGCAACAUCGUAGAUGGCCCAAGGAAUAAUAAGUUUCUUCUUAAUUCAUUAUUACAGUACGAAAGUGUUUUAAUUUUCAGAUUUUAAUUUUUAAUAUCCUUGUAUAACGUUAGAUUAACAAUUCAUUGGAUGACAAUUUUUCAAUUAGAAAUAGAUAAAAUAAUAUAAACUUAUUUUUAUAU